rnacentral:lncRNA from 1 species
GAGAUUCAGUACGGACUAAGUUGCCUGAUUUGUUUGAUAGAUAAUUCACUCACUCUUUAAAUUGUUGGAACAAGGGGUUUAUUUAAGGAGGGGAAGGACAAGUAAUUGGAUAGGAGAGAGGGUUUAGGGUUUUCCUGAUCUUGAAUAAUCUUAAAUGGAGAAAUGAAAUUAUAAAGUCUUGGAUGAAAGAUAGUGCUAACAGGAUUUAGGAUCUUUGAAUCACUUCUUGAAAAGAGGGUCAGUAACUUUCAGGUGCCAAAGGAAAAGAAUCAGUAACUCCCAGGUGCCAGGAGAGAAAAGAUUCAGAAAUCUCCAGGUGCCAAGAGCCAAGAGAUAAUAAUUUCCCAGGCAGUUUGGAUCUCUUUUAACUGCCUCUUCCCGGUCACAUUCUCUACCAGAAUGCUCCUUGAUUGACAGCUCUGCAAACUUGCAUCCCCUUCCCUCGGUUUUCAGGCUUUCCUCCAUUUUACUUUUCCACAGAAUCCUGGCAGGAUCAGCUCUCUGACCAUCAGGAGAAAGAACCGGUCCACGCAAGGCAGAAAUGGGUGGGGAGAAAUCGGCGAGGGGGUGGGGACGGGAGGCGGGGCUCAGAAUGACUUCUCAGAAGAGAGAUGCAGGUGGAGGGACGAGGGGGGAGGAUCAGUCCCUAGGGGGCAAGACCGAGCGAUCCAGCCCGGGAACCGUAGGCAGCGCAAAGGCCUCUGGGAAACCACCCCAUCUCCUCCUCCUCCCCUUCCUCCUUCACCUCCUUCUCCUCCUCCAUUUUCGAAUAUUUUUCUGGAAUUGCCUUCUUUGCCAGCUAAGCAGCCUCCUAUGCAUUUCAAGUAAAUAAUGGAGGUGGUGACAUUCAAGGAUGUGGCUGUGGACUUCACCCGGGAGGAGUGGCGCCUCUUGUCCCCUCCCCAGAAGGAGCUGUACAAGGAGGUAAUGCUGGAGAAUGCCCGGAGCCUGCUUUCUGUGGGUAAGGAGCCCUCUCCCUGCUGCCUGCAUCCAAGGGGAUAUCACCCUCAUCAGCAGGCAGGGUUGGGAGCAGUUUUCAGUCAUGAGGAAGGGACAAGGGCUAGACUGCUGAAUCCCAGACCCAAGGCCCUCCUGCUGCCUAGUUCCCCUGUAAAAGGACUUUACAUUGGAUAAUGGGAUCUUGGGGGCUCCCUUUGGUACUCCUGCAGUCCAGGACCAAAUGCAUGUUGGAGAAUCACAGACAUGGAAAUAAUCUCUGAGCUGAUUCCAUCUUGCCUCUCCCUGGCCCAGAAUUGUAUCUCCCAAACACAUCUGGGAAAACUGUUCAGGUGGGUUUUCCUUCCAUUCUCUGCCUCUAGGAUGGAUCUCCUAUUGGGGUUAUAUUUCUCUUUAACCAUUAUCACAGCUCCUCAGUGUCCCCAGCAGAGCAGGAUUGUCCUGAUUCUUCCUCAUAUUUUCCUAAUCCUCCAGUAGAACCUAUCAAACAGUAAUGGAAAGAAUGAAGUGUCUAUAAUGAUCUGCUCUUGGCCAGGUCCUCUGCCGAGGGUUUUCUCUUUAAUAUUAUGUCUCUUCCUCACCUUCAUCUUCCUAAUUCAAUGAUACAAUUAUCCCCAUUUUACAGAUGAGGAAAUAGAGAUUUGAGUUAGUGGUUGUUCUGAGGCACCCACAUAGUUGUCUGUGGCCAGAUUUAAACUGAGCCUUUCCUUCCUCUCAGUUCAGGUCUCUGACUGCUCCCCUUCUAGCUGCCUUUCAUUUCCAGAUAGCAGAAAAGUAUGGCCUGAGACCAGCCUUCUCUGAAGAAAAUGCCCCAAAACCAAAUGUUCUGCUUCUAGAUUGAUUCCCCACCAUUCUCCCAUCUCUUCUCCCUAUACUAAAUUCUGGGGAGACUCUCCUCCAGGAGGCCAUAGAAGCCUCCUACAGCCACUGCUUGCACUGCUAUGUCAUUGUCAGGAUGAAUGCACUGGCUGAGACAGCAUUGGGUCCAACAGGGAUUGUUGAGUUCCCCAGAGGCAGAGUCUCUCCAAGAGAGCAGUCCACAAGAUGGAGGAGCUGGCAGGGCAGGGGGACAAAAGCUGAUUCCUUGAGGUCCCUGUGUCUAGAGCUUCAGAUUGACUCAGAAAAAUGACCCUUGGACCCAGUUUGGGA